rnacentral:rRNA from 1 species
GACGAACGCUGGCGGCGUGCUUAACACAUGCAAGUCGAACGAUGAAGCUGGAGCUUGCUCCGGUGGAUUAGUGGCGAACGGGUGAGUAACACGUGAGCAAUCUGCCCUUCACUCUGGGAUAACUGCGGGAAACUGUAGCUAAUACCGGAUACGAGACCUUGGGGCAUCCCAGGGUCUGGAAAGAAUUUCGGAGAAGGAUGAGCUCGCGGCCGAUCAGCUAGUUGGUGAGGUAAUGGCUCACCAAGGCGACGACGGGUAGCCGGCCUGAGAGGGUGACCGGCCACACUGGGACUGAGACACGGCCCAGACUCCUACGGGAGGCAGCAGUGGGGAAUAUUGCACAAUGGGCGAAAGCCUGAUGCAGCAACGCCGCGUGAGGGAUGAAGGCCUUCGGGUUGUAAACCUCUUUUAGUAGGGAAGAAGCGCAAGUGACGGUACCUACAGAAAAAGCACCGGCUAACUACGUGCCAGCCGCCGCGGUAA